GGUCAAGAUACAAAGGGCGUACGGUGGAUGCCUUGGCGCACCGGGCCGAAGAAGGACGUGGUAAGCUGCGAAAAGCCGCGGGGAGCCGCAAACAGGCAGAGAUCCGCGGAUAUCCGAAUGGGGCAACCCGGCGGGGGAGAACCCCCGUCAUGUCACGCUGAACACAUAGGCGCGACAGGGGCACCCGGGGAACUGAAACAUCUUAGUACCCGGAGGAAGAGAAAGCAAAAGCGAACCCCGAAGUAGCGGCGAGCGAACAGGGGCGGGCCUAAACCACGGCUGCAUGCAGCCGUGGGGUUGCGGGACUCCCGUAAAGCAUGCUGGAAGCCAGCCGAAGCGGGCUGGAAAGCCCGGCCACAGAAGGUAAAAGCCCUGUAGGCGAAAGUAGAAGGCAUGUAGGGAGGAUCCCAAGUACCGCGGGACACGAGGAACCCCGUGGGAAUCAGGGAGGACCACCUUCCAAGGCUAAAUACCCGGUGCGACCGAUAGUGAACCAGUACCGAGAGGGAAAGGUGAAAAGCACCCCGGGAGGGGAGUGAAAGAGCACCUGAAACCGUAUGCCUACAAACAGUCAGAGCUCGUUAAACGAGUGAUGGCGUACUUUUUGUAGAACGGACCGGCGAGUUACAUUCAGCGGGCGAGGUUAAGGCGUUAAAGGCCGGAGCCGGAGUGAAAGCGAGCCUGAACAGGGCGUAAGUCCGCUAGAGUAGACACGAAACCGGGUGAUCUACCCAUGUUCAGAGUGAAGCUAAAGUAAAAUUUAGUGGAGGCUCGAACCAACCGUCGUUGAAAAGGCGGUGGAUGAAAUGUGGGUAGGGGUGAAAUGCCAAUCGAACCCGGAAAUAGCUGGUUCUCCCCGAAAUAGCUUUAGGGCUAGACCUGUGUAAAAGAUACACGGAGGUAGAGCACUGACUGGGCUAGGGGCCUUCACGGGUUACCGAACCCAAUCAAACUGCGAAUGCCGUGGGAUUGAUGCACAGGAGUCAGACUACGGGUGCUAAGGUUCGUAGUCGAGAGGGAAACAGCCCGGACCGCCGGCUAAGGUCCCCAAGCGGCGCUAAGUGGGAAAGGAUGUGGGGUUGCCCUGACAACCAGGAUGUUGGCUUAGAAGCAGCCAUCAUUCAAAGAGUGCGUAAUAGCUCACUGGUCAAGUGGCCCUGCGCCGAAAAUGAAACGGGGCUCAAGCGCUGCACCGAAGCCGCGGAUUUCGGUCGUCAGUCGUCAGACGUCAGACGUCAGGGAAGUAUACCGAAUAAGUUCCUGACGACUGCUGCCUGACGACGGACGACCGAAGUGGUAGGGGAGCGUUCCCGCAGGGACGAAGCCGUACCGUAAGGAGCGGUGGACCGGCGGGAAGAGAGAAUGCCGGUAUAAGUAAGCGCAAAGGCAGGUGAGAAUCCUGCCCGCCGAAAGCCCAAGGAUUCCUGGGGAAGGGUCGUCCGCCCAGGGUAAGCCGGGGCCUAAGCCGAGGCCGAAAGGCGUAGGUGAUGGACAAUCGGUUGAGAAUCCGAUGCCACCGCAGAGCCGUCACGAGGAUGGGGUGACACAGGAGGGUAAGCCAAGCGCGCGGCUGGAAAAGCGCGUCCAAGCCGGUAGGGGGUGGGGCAGGCAAAUCCGCUCCACACAAGACCCCGAGAGGUGAAGGGGAGGGAACUAAGUACCGAAGUGGCCGAACCCAAACUGUCGAGAAAAACCUCUAACCAGGAGCUGCGGUGCCCGUACCGCAAACCGACACAGGUAGGCGGGGUGAGAAUCCUAAGGCGCGCGAGAGAACCCUCGUUAAGGAACUCGGCAAAAUGACCCCGUAACUUCGGGAGAAGGGGUACCUUGGUAGCGUGAGAGCACAGGCUGCUGGAGCGCGAAGAGGUCGCAGAGAAAAGGCCCAAGCGACUGUUUACCAAAAACACAGGUUCCUGCGAAAUCGAAAGAUGAAGUAUAGGAGCUGACGCCUGCCCGGUGCUGGAAGGUUAAGGGGAGGGCUCAGGGGCAACCCGAAGGUCUGAACCGAAGCCCCAGUAAACGGCGGCCGUAACUAUAACGGUCCUAAGGUAGCGAAAUUCCUUGUCGGGUAAGUUCCGACCCGCACGAAAGGCGUAACGAUUUGGGCGCUGUCUCAACGAGGGGCUCGGUGAACUUGUAAUACCCGUGAAGAUGCGGGUUACCUGCGACAGGACAGAAAGACCCCGUGGAGCUUUACUGCAGCCUGACAUUGGACUUCGGUAUUGCAUGUACAGGAUAGGUGGGAGGCGUGGAAGCCAUGGCGCCAGCCGUGGUGGAGCCGGCGUUGGGAUACCACCCUUGGGAUAUUGGAGUUCUAACAAAGUGGCGUAAACCGGCACAUGGACAGUGUCAGGUGGGCAGUUUGACUGGGGCGGUCGCCUCCCAAAAGGUAACGGAGGCGUCCAAAGGUUCCCUCGGCGCGGUUGGAAAUCGCGCGUAAGAGUGCAAAGGCAUAAGGGAGCUUGACAGCGAGACAGACAGGUCGAGCUGGGACGAAAGUCGGGCUUAGUGAUCCGGCGGUGAUGAGUGGAAAUGCCGUCGCUCAACGGAUAAAAGCUACCCCGGGGAUAACAGGCUUAUCUCCCCCAAGAGUUCACAUCGACGGGGAGGUUUGGCACCUCGAUGUCGGCUCAUCGCAUCCUGGGGCUGGAGUAGGUCCCAAGGGUUGGGCUGUUCGCCCAUUAAAGCGGUACGUGAGCUGGGUUCAGAACGUCGUGAGACAGUUCGGUCCCUAUCCGUCGCAGGCGCAGGAAACUUGAGAGGAGCUGUCCCUAGUACGAGAGGACCGGGAUGGACAGACCGCUGGCGUACCAGUUGUCGUGCCAACGGCAGCGCUGGGUAACCAAGUCUGGCCGGGAUAAGCGCUGAAAGCAUCUAAGCGCGAAGCCCCCCUCGAGAUAAGGUUUCCCACCAUUCAGUCAUCAGUCGUCAGACGUUGGGAGUCGGGAUAGAAGGAAUUCGCGAAAGCGAAUUCCAACAAAAACCUGACGACUGCUUACCGACGACUGAUGACUGAAUGGGUAAGACCCCUGGCAGACUACCAGGUAGAUAGGCCGGGCGUGUAAGCCGGGUAACCGGUUGAGCGGACCGGUACUAAUCGGUCGAGGGCUUGACCUC
rnacentral:rRNA from 1 species